AUUGAACGCUGGCGGCAUGCCUUACACAUGCAAGUCGAACGGUAACAGGUCUUCGGAUGCUGACGAGUGGCGAACGGGUGAGUAAUACAUCGGGACGUGCCUAGUAGUGGGGGAUAACUACUCGAAAGAGUGGCUAAUACCGCAUGAGAUCUACGGAUGAAAGCAGGGGAUCGCAAGACCUUGUGCUACUAGAGCGGCCGAUGGCAGAUGAGGUAGUUGGUGGGAUAAAAGCUUACCAAGCCGACGAUCUGUAGCUGGUCUGAGAGGACGAUCAGCCACACUGGGACUGGGACACGGCCCAAACUCCUACGGGGGGAAGCAGUGGGGAAUUUUGGAAAAUGGGCGAAGGCCUGAUCCAGCAAUGCCGCGUGAAGGAUGAAGGCCUUCGGGUUGUAAACUGCUUUUGUACGGAACGAAAAGCCCUGGGUUAAUACCCUGGGGUCAUGGCGGUACCGUAAGAAUAAGCACCGGCUAACUACGUGCCAGCCGCCGCCGUAA
rnacentral:rRNA from 1 species